rnacentral:rRNA from 1 species
UACGGAGGGGGCAAGCGUUGUUCGGAAUUACUGGGCGUAAAGGGCGCGCAGGCGGCUGCUCAAGUCAGGCGUGAAAGGCCUGGGCUCAACCCGGGAAUUGCGCUUGAGACUGGGCUGGCUUGAGUGCGGGAGAGGAUGGUGGAAUUCCCAGUGUAGAGGUGAAAUUCGUAGAUAUUGGGAAGAACACCGGUGGCGAAGGCGGCCAUCUGGACCGCAACUGACGCUGAGGCGCGGAAAAGCGU